rnacentral:rRNA from 1 species
AUUGAACGCUGGCGGCAGGCCUAACACAUGCAAGUCGAACGAGUGGCGCAGGGGUGAGUGAUGUCUGUGAAACUGUCCGAUGGAGGGGGAUAACUACUGGAAACGGUAGCUAAUACCGCACACACUCGGAUAUGUCCACAUGGGAUUAUCUUGUAGGUGAGGUAACGGCUCACCUAGGGGACGCUCCCUAGCUGGUCUGUGAGGAUGACCAGCCACACUGGAACUGAGACACGGUCCAGACGCCUACGGGAGGCAGCAGUGGGGAAUAUUGCACAAUGGGCGCAAGCCUGAUGCAGCCAUGCCGAGUGUAUGAAGAAGGCCUUCGGGUUGUAAAGUACUUUCAGCGGGGAGGCGUUACCCGCAGAAGAAGCACCGGCUAACUCCGUGCCAGCCGCCGCGGUAAUAC